UUAGGGUUGGAGUCCGAGCAGAAACGACUUCGUCACCACGCCUGGUAGCGUUAGCCUAGCCCUAGCCCUAAUCCUAACCCUAAUUUCUGUUUCUUCUUCUCUCUAUAGAAUGGUGGAUAUGCAAUUUGGGGUUGUGGAUUGUUGGAUGAUCAAUAGAGGGAGGGGUUGGAAGAGAGAAGAUGAAGGCGACUGUGAGUUCCUGAAUUUGAAAUUCUCAGUGGAUUGGGGUUCCGCUUUGUUAUUGUUCUGGAAUUGAGCUGAUUUCGGCGCUUCAUGCAAUUGAUAUCAGUGGCUGCAGAGGAAUGGUUAUGCUGUUACAGAUACAUGAAAUGCAAAAGAAUUAUCUCUGGAAUCAGGGAGCCAACCACAAAGGCAACUCCUAAAUCCUGUUGAGAAGUUUGCCAUCAGUUCACAAGAGUCAACAUGGAAGCAUAGUCCAUGAAGUGGAGCAGUUUGAGCAUGCUGAUAAACUAACCUCAUGGUUUUUUUGGAAAGUAAAGACAUAUAUUACUCGAUUUCUUGAAAAUAUAAGGUGCUCUUCCUUUUCACAUGAAAAACUUAGUGUGCUCAUGAAGUAACAGGCUCUUCUUUAUCUUGGGUUUCAAUGGCACGCCAAGUCUACCCAGAUAGUACUGUAAAAUAUAAUAAACCAUCAGAUAUUGGGAUGGAAAGAGACAACAGAAGCCUGACAAAAGAUCUGCGGUUCUUAUUUCUUGGUGGUUUUGGGGAGAAAGUAUGAGCCUAUUUGCUUCCAUCACUUUGAGGUUAUUACCAAUCAACUUGAGAAGCCUUCUCAUCAUAUGGGGACAAUGAAGCAAAAGGGAAUGGAUGUUUAUGUGAAGUAAGUUAUUGAUUGGUUGGAGGAUGUGGAGCGACUUGUGUUAAUGACAUGCAGAAAGCACUUUUGAUAUUGACAUUCUCAACAUUGUUAUAGGAAAUUUUUUACUUCAUCUGCUUUCAAGGAUAUGUUUAUGGAAGCAAAACUCACGAGGAAAAGGGUGCUACUCUUUAAACAUAUAUGUGUAAAUGCUAUGUAAGUUCUUUUGUCUCUCCAAUCAGCUAGAUGUUUCUUAGUUCUAACUAGCGGUGAAUGAAGAGGAUGGCCAGCCCCAACGCAAUUUGGAUCUUUCAUCUUUGUUGUAACCCCAUGUUGGUUCUGUUAAAUUUCCCCAAAAGAAGAGGGGAUUGAAAAAAAAAUGCUUGGUUUGAUUGCUUUAGUAGUAUUUCUUUGUCAGGGACAUUUGAUUUAAAUAAAAUUCCAUCUUAUGGUUA